rnacentral:lncRNA from 10 species
GAGGCAAAAAAGAGGGUGGACUUUCCUUUAUCUCAUAUUUUCACCACAUGGUCACAUAUGUGGCUGUGACAUAAUAAUGAACUCCAAUAUAGAGCCAAAAUAUUUGGCACAUUGCACAAUUCUUUUAGGCUCCCAGUGGCUAAGGUCGAUAGAGGCUUGCAGUGGUGCUGAUAACAACCAGGUCUCCUAUCUGCCUCAGAAAACUGGGGCCAAAAGAAGACCAUGAGUUUGUAGAUGUCAUCUGAUGCCCAAAAGCAUUCAGAAAAAAAAACUGUUGAUUUUAAUUCCAUCCUUUCAACUUUUGUGUAAACUGUUUUCAAUCAAGUUUAUUGCAAUUUCUCUAUGCCCUCAUCAAUGCGUGUUAUUUAUUUAUUUACUUUUAAAUAGCCAUUCUAAUGGCUGUGAGGUGAUACCUACUGUGAU